rnacentral:rRNA from 1 species
CUGCUCAAUGAUUUUUUAAAUUGCUGUGGUAUUUUGACUAUACGAAGGUAUUGAAAUAAGGCUUUAAUUGAGUGCUAAGAGAAUGGUUUAACAAAAAUUAACUUUCUUUAAAUUUAUAAUAGAAGUUGAUUUAAAAAUGAAAAAGUUUUUAUUUAUUUUUGGGACAAGAAGACCCUAUGAAUCUUUUUUAUAAUUUUAUUUAAACUUUUUAAAUUAGUAAAUGAAAUAUAAUUAUAAGUUGAUUGGGGUGAUUUUUAAAGAAUAUUUAUCUUUAAAAGUUGAAUAAAUUAGAACCAAAAAUUUUGGUUGUUUGAUUAAAAUACUCUGGGGAUAACAGCGUAAUUAUUUUGGAUAGUUCAUAUAGAUAAAGUAGUUUGCGACCUCGAUGUUGGAUUAAGAUACUAAUAUAAUGAAGCAGUUAUAUAAAGAAGUUUGCUCAACUUUUAAAUUCUUACUUGAUCUGAGUUCAGACCGG